GUCUACGGCCAUACCACCCUGAACGCGCCCGAUCUCGUCUGAUCUCGGAAGCUAAGCAGGGUCGGGCCUGGUUAGUACUUGGAUGGGAGAAAAGAAAAAUGUUCUUAAGAAAAUCAUAAGGAAGAGCAAAUA
ensembl:rRNA 5S_rRNA 5S ribosomal RNA